CAAUUUUACGAAUUGUUUGUAAACAUAAUAGGAUACGUGGUUUGGAGGCUAUAUUUUGUUAUUAAAUAUCGUUAGUGUUUUAAUUUGUUGUUAUAUCUUGAGAUAUAAUGUAUCUAUAGAUAUCAUUAAGUGUUUUUAGUAUAAUAACUUAAACCCAAAACUCUUUUACAAGUGUUAAGAUACAUUUUAAGGACAACAUAAAGUUUAGGGCAACGGCCAGGCAACAGCAUGAAUUUUGUGAACAGUGUUGCCAUAUCUGUUUAUAAUUUAGACAUGAAUUUAGACCUUGUUUAAAAUGCUUUUUUUUAGAUGUUUAUUUCAUAGGUUAGUUUAUUCAUUUAAGUUAGUUUCUUCUUAUUACUAUUUAGUAUUUUAGAUAUUUUAUUAGUUAGAAUUUACAGUCUACAGUUUAAGUUAGUUUCUUUUAAUUACUAUUUAGUAUUUUAGAUAUUUUAUUAGUUACAGUUUAGAAAUCUUCACAUUGUUUAAUGUUUCUAUUAACUAUUGCCACUAUUGAUUUUUAUAUAAUUUUAAUGUUUUUAUUAUAAUAUAUUUUCUGAUUUAUAUCUAAUAUUUGUUUUCGAUUUUUAAAUUAUAUAUUAGGUCUGUUCCUUUGUUUUUUAGUGUUACACUUUUGAGUGUAAGUGUACGAAAUUCUAUGGACAUUUGAGUGUAAAAUGACAGCGGAUGUGACAGCGGCUCAUGACAGCGGACAGUAUUAAACGAAAAUUAUCGGUGUGCCAAUCAAGCAAAGGGACAAGGAACUUCCGAAUAUGGCCUAACUGGGGGCACAUAACAUAACCUAAUCCUAAUAUUUACAUUUGUAAAGAAUAUCCUGUUUCUUUUUAUUGUCGAUUGUGCAGCGAAAUUGUGUGCAGCAAAUCAAAUAUAAAGUAGUUUAUCGCCUACAGAACUGAAUUAGUCCAUAGCAGUUAUCAGUUUUUCUUUCUUGGGAAGCUUAUACAUGUAACUUGUAUUGUUGUAAAUUGUGGGAGUAGGGCAGACAGGGAAAAGUCUUAUUUUGUACUGUUCCCAAGGCUCCCCAUGCAAUACAUUUAAAUGAAUUAUCCAAACAAGGCCGGGGACAAUGGAUAAAAGCCACAAGAAGAACAGAUAUAAGGGAACUAAAAUUAAAAUAUGAAAAGUAAACAUUUUAUAAGUGGAACAACCACCAGAUAUUUAAAAGGUAUAAAAAGAAGAAACUGCUGGAAUUUCAAAACAAAUGUGUUUGACUAGUAAAGAUUUGGAUAAAUAACAGGAGUUACUUUGGGCUAUAGCUACGUGCAGAUUUAUUUCCUUGUGGCUUCCUAUGUUAAUUCUUAUUAAUUAUACACUUAAAUAUGUUUUUAGUCUCAGGAAGAUUUUAUAUUUGAUUAUUUUUGAAUAAACAUUAUUAUUAUUAUUACCUUAAUUUCCAUUAAAUAAAUUAACUGUAAUCAAUAAAGUAAUCGUUUAAUUGUUAAUAAAUUAUCAAGUAUGA